GAUCGACCGCUCCGCCUCAUUUCUAAUGUUCGAGGCAAUGGUUACGACUGAGGAUGAUGAGGAC
rnacentral:sRNA from 15 species